UACGUAGGGUGCGAGCGUUAAUCGGAAUUACUGGGCGUAAAGCGUGCGCAGGCGGUUUUAUAAGACAGGUGUGAAAUCCCCGGGCUCAACCUGGGAAUGGCCUUUGUGACUGUAAGACUAGAGUACGGUAGAGGGGGAUGGAAUUCCGCGUGUAGCAGUGAAAUGCGUAGAUAUGCGGAGGAACACCGAUGGCGAAGGCAAUCCCCCGGACCUGUACUGACGCUCAUGCACGAAAGCGUGGGGAGCAAACAGG
rnacentral:rRNA from 1 species